rnacentral:rRNA from 1 species
AUUGAACGCUGGCGGCAUGCCUUACACAUGCAAGUCGAACGGCAUCGCGGGAAAGCUUGCUUUACUGGCGGCGAGUGGCGAACGGGUGAGUAACACAUCGGAACGUACCGGCUAGUGGGGGAUAACCCGUCGAAAGACGGGCUAAUACCGCAUACGCUCUUCGGAGGAAAGCAGGGGACCUUUGGGCCUUGCGCUAGCCGAGCGGCCGCUGUCCGAUUAGCUAGUUGGGGGGGUAAAGGCCUACCAAGGCGACGAUCGGUAGCGGGUCUGAGAGGACGAUCCGCCACACGGGGACUGAGACACGGCCCAGACUCCUACGGGAGGCAGCAGUGGGGAAUCUUGGACAAUGGGGGUAACCCUGAUCCAGCAAUGCCGCGUGGGUGAAGAAGGCCUUCGGGUCGUAAAGCCCUUUCGGCAGGGAAGAAAUCGGCGGGGCGAAUAACCCUGCUGGAUGACGGUACCUGCAGAAGAAGCACCGGCUAACUACGUG